rnacentral:misc_RNA from 1 species
CUCUCAACCCUGGACCGUUCGUCGGCUUGGGCUUGGACCGUGGCCGAACGGCCGGCGUCGUCGACGUCUGGCCCGGCCGAAAUGGAUGCGGAGCGAUGCCGACCGCGACGACCGAGCGUUGUAGAACCUCGCAAGGUGUUGCCGGCGCUGCUCUCCAGUCACAUU